rnacentral:rRNA from 1 species
GACGAACGCUGGCGGCGUGCUUAACACAUGCAAGUCGAACGGCAAGGCCCUGCUUUUGUGGGGUGCUCGAGUGGCGAACGGGUGAGUAACACGUGAGUAACCUGCCCUUGACUUUGGGAUAACUUCAGGAAACUGGGGCUAAUACCGGAUAGGAGCUCCUGCUGCAUGGUGGGGGUGGGAAAGUUUCGGCGGUUGGGGAUGGACUCGCGGCUUAUCAGCUUGUUGGUGGGGUAGUGGCUUACCAAGGGUUUGACGGGUAGCCGGCCUGUGAGGGUGGCCGGCCACAUUGGGACUGAGAUACGGCCCAGACUCCUACGGGAGGCAGCAGUGGGGAAUAUUGCACAAUGGGCGGAAGCCUGAUGCAGCAACGCCGCGUGCGGGAUGACGGCCUUCGGGUUGUAAACCGCUUUCGCCUGUGACGAAGCGUGAGUGACGGUAAUGGGUAAAGAAGCACCGGCUAACUACGUG